rnacentral:misc_RNA from 1 species
AAGUCGUAACAAGGUAACCGUAGGUGAACCUGCGGUUGGAUCAUUAAAAAAUCUAACUGAAUUAGUCUGCAAUUUUAUUGUAUGAUUAUUUCUUACACCUUUGUGAACUGUUUAUUGUCUCUGGUGAGUUAAAAAUGGAAUAGCUGUGCUUGCACGGUUGUUUCGCUCACCAGUUUAUCUUUAACACUUUGUAUUAUUUGACAUAAAAUUUAAAUAUAAUAAUUUAAAACAACUUUUGACAACGGAUCUCUUGGCUCUC